CGAAGAACACAAGCAUCUGAACAAAAAACAGCAGCAGAAUAUAGCACACACUAGUGCAAGAAAAACUAUUCUAGCUGGGAACUUCCAUAUAGCAGCAAUUUUUGACAAAGAGAAGAGGGACCACUCUAAUUGGGGAAGAAAACUGAAAUGAGAAUCCCAGUACUCACAAAACCUGAACUAAUGAAAACCUCAACACAAAUGUCCAAACAAAGCCCUCCAUGAAAAGAACAAUCCACUACUCGGUUAGACUUAGACCCAACUGCAGGCACAGAAAGAAGGGAACAGUUCAGUGCAAAGCUGACAAAACCCUUGUCACCUAAGAAAUCAUUAGAGAUGCAAGAGACAAUUGAAAAACUCCAUUUUUAGUCUAAAGCCUGACAAUAUCCAUCUUAGAGUGCAAGCACCAAAAAGACCAAGAAACAGGUGCACAAGAAUGCAUACUGGACACAAGCCUUUAAAGUCUCCAAAACUAAUCCUCCAUUGAUGUCACCACGUGGUCUACGCACAUAUUCACCAACAAACAAAAUCAAGCAGGCGUGAUAACCAAGGGAAAAUGGAAGCAAAGAGAGGUAAGUAGCUAGGACACAAAAGGCAGACGAUCACUUCACAAUACUAUCUGAGAUCCAGAAUUAGACUUUUGACUACUUAUCCAGUGCCCAUAACACCACAAGAGAUAGCAGGAUCGUCAAAGAACAUGCGCAUCUGAACUAUGAACUAAAACUGGCAGCAGAAUGGCUAUACAACACAAGUGAAGAUAAUUAUCAUAGUUGAGAACUUCCAUAAGCAGUUUUGACAAAACUUCGAGAGACUGAAAAAUCCAAUACCUAUAGUCAAAAACCUGGGAACUGCUGCAUCUUUCCCAAGACAAACAUUGAAGCAAGACACUUAUUCCAGUAGACCAACGUGGACCUAGAUGCCCGUCCAUGUAGUCUCGACAGCUAAGAAUGACAUCCAAUGAUGACCAAACCAAAUAAGUUGAGCGAGGAGAAACAUGAUAACAAAAUUAGCAUUAAAGAUGGAAGUCAAAAUAUCAAAUCCAAAACUGAUAGGUCCACUCUAUGGUUGUAACAAGAAAAGAUGAGGGGACUGAUUCAUCUCAAGAUCCAAAUUUCCACUUCCACUCGUAUUCUGAUUCAAUAAAAGGAAAUUGCUAUAUUUCAGAGUAGUAAAUAGGAAACACACGGUUUCUCACAACAAAAACCUCAGAAUUUCCCAAAACCUGGAAGCAAAACUUGAUUCCCCCAAAACUGCAUCUAGAAAGGCUACCAGCUUCCAAUUUCUAAAAAAAACAUUGGAAAUCAAUCGAAGGUACACAAGAAAAUAAAUGCACUGCAAAGGUACCCAUAAUCAUUCUCCUAUCAUUAUCACCCAUACCUGAUCAAACAAACACCAACAACGAAUCAAUAAAUUGGCAAAAAAAAAAAACAGAACUAAUUGUGAACGCCCAAAACCCCUAACGUUCCUCCUCCUAGAUGAUCAUGAUCAAAGAGUUGCAAAUCAGAAACCCCAACCCAUAUUAAAAAAAUCAAAAUCAAAACUAAAGGAAGACAUCAGAAUCAACAAUAACUACCCAUAUAUCUUGAUCAAACA
rnacentral:lncRNA from 1 species